UCAUAUAUUUUUUUUAUGAAAAAUUUGCAUAUUCUGCAUUGGAAUUGGAAAUUGGAACCAGUACCAGUAAUUUAGUUUAAAUUCGAAAUGGAGUUAAGUGAAGAUUCUAUAAAAAGAAAACAAAAUGUUUUAAUAUGUGUCAAAGAUGGAGAUUCUCAAGAGCAACAUGUACAAGUUAAAUCAGAAUGCAUGUUUGAAAGUAAUUACACACAAGAUUCUUUGUCAGACUCCUAUUGUUCCGACGAUAUUAAAAUAGAAGAACAUGUGUUACAAUGCGACAAAGAUGGAGAUUCUUUAGAGCAACAUGUUAAUGUACAAGUACUAGUUUCAGAACUGGAAGAAUCGGAAAAAUGCAUGUUUGAAAGUAAUUAUACACAACAUUCCUUGUCAGACUCGUAUUGUUCUGAUGAUAUUAAAAUAGAAGAACAUAUAUUACAAUGUGAAAUAAUUAGCCCAUUCCCCCUCAUUUCGAAGCAAGAAGUAAAGACAGAACUCAAAAAAGAACUGGAUGAACAUAAUUUAGGAGUAAAUCAUGGGUGUGACACUCAUAAUACAAAAGAAUUAGACUCUGAAAAAGAUGUAAAAUUGCAGAUAGGAACUUCAACUGACAUACAUCAUGAAAAACAUUGUAGAAGCAUGAAAACAUCAAAAUUACUGUCCACCAUUGGCAAACAAAGGUUACGUCAGAAUAAGAUUCAAACGAAAUUCGAAAAAUCGUUGGUAAAACACACCGGAAAAAAGCUUUAUAAGUGCGAAUUUUGUUCUAAGCAGUUUAGUCAAGAAGUAAAUUUGAAAAAUCAUUUAAGGGUGCACACUGGAGAAAAACCUCAUAGGUGUGAGAUUUGUUCUAAGCAAUUUAGUCGAGGUGAACAUUUAAAAACGCAUUUAAGGGUACACACUGGGGAAAAGCCUUACAAGUGCGAAUUUUGUUUUAAGCAAUUUAGAGGGGCAGGAAAUUUGAAAAAACAUUUGAGAAUACACACUGGAGAAAAGCCUUACAAGUGUGAAAUUUGUUCCAAGCAAUUUUGUCAAGAAGUAAAUUUGAAAAACCAUUUAAGGGUGCACACUGGAGAAAAGCCUUACAAGUGUGAGAUUUGUUUUAAGCAGUUUAGUCGAGAUGGACAUUUAAAAACGCAUUUAAGGGUACACACUGGAGAAACGCCUUACAAGUGCGAAAUUUGUUCUAAGCAAUUUAGAUAUGAUGGAAGUUUAAAAAAUCAUUUAAGGGUACACACUGGAGAAACGCCUUACAAGUGCGAAAUUUGUUUGAAGCAAUUUAGAGAAGCAGGAAAUUUAAAAAGACAUUUGAGAAUACACACUGGAGAGAUGCCUUACAAGUGUGAAAUUUGUUUGAAACGAUUUAGAGAAGCAGGAACUUUAAAAAGACAUUUGAGAAUACACACUUGAGAGAUGCCUUACAAGUGUGAAAUUUGUUCUAAGCAAUUUACUAGGUGGAAAAACUGGAACUAAAACUGGAUAUAUGGUUUAUCUCCCAAUGCAUUAACUACAAUGUAUUUCCAAAGUUCUGUAAAGUAAAAACACCAGGAAACGUUCCAGUCACCCUAAAGAACACCUUCCAGCUUAAAAUAUUAAAAAAGGAGAUUUGUAACCAUUAUGGAAAACUUAACUUCCUAAACUGUAAGCUUAAGGUAACAUAUGACUCUUUACUUCAUUCUAUAGGCUUUGAUAACCUGAGUAACUUUUUGAAUGAUGUUCAGGACAGACUGGACAAUGUAACCUUUAUUAAAUUCAAUACACUCAAAUCUAAACUUGAUAAACUCAUUCGUAAUAAAUCUAUUUCACUAAAUCAAAAUAACAGGAACAAUACCAAAUUUUCCAAUUUUUCUUUCCACCCAAGACUUAAAAAUCUCUCUUCAGUUGUCUUUAAUAAAAAUGAACUUGACUUACUAAAUCUAGGACUCAAAUACUCCAUUCCAAGAAAAGUUUCUGUAAAAGACCUUCAGUCUUCCAUUGUCUCUCCAUUGAGCUAGAUAUCAUUAUUCAAAAUCUUUCUGUUCCGUUAAAUCAAAAAACCUCUAUUCGUAAUUCCUGCUUCAUAACUAUCAAUAAAUUCAAAAACAAAAAUAUUUCAUCUUCUACAUCUUUUAACACUUCUAAUCACAUCAUCCCACUGAAUACAUCUAGUAACUUGUCCUUCAAUUUACCCUCUACUUCUCAAAACUCUUUGCACAAUUCAUCUUUCCCUCAAUUCUCUGAAAACAAACGGAAUAUUCAUCUUCAAACCCUUAAUUCAAUCAAAAACAAAAUCAAAACCCAUAAUCUAAUCAUCAGCAAAGCAGACAAGGGUAACUGCUUAGUAAUCCUAGAUCAAACGUUGUAUAAUGACAAGGUCAUUACUUUUCUUUUUAACAAUAACUUCAUUCCACUAACAGACGAUCCUUCAAAAAAGUUCAUCAAUAAACUGAGACAACCUGAAACCCUUUGCAGAAUUUUUUUCAGAACAGUUUGCUCCUCACUAUAAAAUACCAAGCAAUCCUUUGACACUCAGACUGUAUGGUUUACCUAAGAUACAUAAAGAGGGCAUCCCCCACCCGUCCAGUUGUUAGCUUCAUAAACACACCAGUAUCUAUCCUAUCAAAAUUCAUAUUAAAUCUAAUUAACAACUUGACGAAUUUCACCCCUCGCUUCUCAGUCAAAAACACCAGUCAUCUAGUCAACAAUCUCCAACAAAUAAACCUUCGUCCCAACAUUACUAUGCUUUCACUUGAUGUUAGCAACCUUUUCAUUUCUGUCCCUAAACAUGAAACUAUUAAUUGGUACAUUCUCUUUUAAGAACCAACUCUAUUACUACGUCUACUACUAAUUCCAUCAUCCAAUUACUACAAUUUUGUCUAGCUCAAGACUUCUUUGUAUUUAAUAAUAAAUUUUAUAGACAACCUGAUGGCCUAGCCAUGGGUAGUUGUUUAUCCCCUCUCUUAGCUGAUAUUUUCAUGGAUCAUUUAGAAUCCACUCAUAUUAUAAAAAAAUCUGGAAAUACUCCAUUGGUUUAGAUAUGUAGACGAUAUUUUGCUUUUCAUUUCCGGUAAUUCUAAUUUAGCUGACCUUUUGCUUUCUAAAAUCAAUCAAAUCCACUAUUACCAGAUUAGAGGACCAUUUCGAUUUAAGUAUCUAUAGGAAACCAACACAGACUGAUCAUGUCAUACCUUUAUCCUAUAAUCACCCUAUGUCACAUAAAUAUGCUGCUUUCCAUAGUUAUAUCCAUAGACUUAAAACUAUUCCAUUAUCUCCACCAAACUAUGAUAAAGAACUUAAUAUACUUCGUCAAAUAGCGUUUAACAACGGUUACGAUCCUAAUCUUGUCUACAAACUUAUUCAAAGGAGACACCUUAGAGUCUUGAGAGAGACUGCUUUCCCUAGAGACUUGACCAUCAAACCCUCAUGCUUCCUUACCAUAUUUUCAUCAACGUCUUUCUGGAGACAUUAGAUAUAUUCUUAAAAGAGCAGUUGACAAUACUCACAUUUCUUUCAAAGUAUCCAACAAUCUAGGACAGUGUCUUACCAAUUCUAAAGACUCUAUCAACUACAUGGAUCGUAGUGGUGUGUACAGAUUACAAUGUUCUGAUUGUGACGUUACAUAUAUAGGUAGGACCUGUAGAUCCCUAUCUUCUCGCUCCUUAGGCACACCAAAAGAGAGAACACUUCUACUUUCUCACAACAUCUUGUACAAAACAAACAUACCCUUAAUAUCCCAGAAGAUGUCUCAUUAUUACAUAAUAUUUCACAAAAAAACUUCCUAAAAUUGGACCUGUAUGAAGACUUAGAAAUAGUUAAAGAGAAGCAAAGAAGUCCUGUGUCAAUCGCCAUGUGUCAUUUAACCGAGAUUUUCAACCAACCGUCAACUUUUUUCAUAAACCACAUCUGAUACAAUUUUCUCUUUUCUUUGCUUCACCAUUCAUGACUUCCACCUACAUCUAUUUCACUCCCAAUUGUCGAUAAGCAACAUCUUACUUUAACUCUUUAAUAUUCAUUUGUACUUCAUCCUCCCACAUUCUCAUUAUUUUACACCAGCUUUACUUUUCCAAAAAAAAUUUUUAGCUCCUACAUCACAUAUACCACCACAUUCAUCAGAUUGAGUCUCAUUCCAGUCAACCUCUUCUUCUUAGUCUUAUCUCAUAGCUUAUCGAUUAGAUAACUCUCAUAUCAUAACAACACACUACACAUCUUCCAUGGUCCAAUAUCACAACAUACUCUGUCAGACUUUUCAUACCUUCCAACUCCCCCCCAUAUUUUACGAUCACUUCAUUUACAACCAAUUUGAUGUCAGGUCUCUGGAGUUUCAUCAAGUUACUCUAGUCUCAUUCUCAGUCAGAUAAAAAACAAAACAGUAUUUCUAUAAUUAUCAUAUCACUUUUUCCAUCAUUAUCCAAUUUAUGUUGGGUCGACUUCUAAGCAAGUUAUCAGUAAUAGGUCUGGAUCCCGCGUAUGAAAAAAAAGUUGAUUAAUAACAAGCUGAAAAUUUGUUAAUAGCUUAAGGGUGUCUAGUCGAAUAAACUUUGAUAUGUGUGAACACUGGAACAGGGGCAGUUUUAAUUGUGGAACAGGUUAAAAAUUUGGAACGGUCACAGCACGAAAACGGCACAUUUAUUUUGUCCGACAGAACAGACUUAAACUCUUCGAACAGAGAUUAAACUCUCAUGCAAAAAUCAGACUGCUAUUUAUCACCAAAUGGGAGUUUUAAUGAGUGGAACAUGUAGAAUAUGUCAAAUGACAGGAAUUAUGACAGGUAAUAAAUAGCAGUCUGACUUUUUCAUGAGAGUUUAAUCUCUGUUUGGAGAGUUUAAGUCUGUUCUGUCGGACAAAAUUAAUGUGCCGUUUUCGUGCUGUGACCGUUCCAAAUUUUUAAACUGUUCCACAAUUAAAACUGCCCCUGUUUCAGUGUUCCCAUAUAUCAAAGUUUAUUCGACUAGAUACCCUUAAGCUAUUAACAAAUUUUCAGCUUGCUAUUAAUCAACUUUUUUUUCAUACGCGGGAUCCAGACCUAUAAUCAAACAAUUAUCCUUUAAUUAAUACUCUUAGAAUCGUACACAUAUGUACAUAUUACAUACUAUUUUGUGUUCCUAGACGUCCACACGUAUAAGGCCUUUCCCAUUAUUUGUCUAAUUGUAUUGAUUAUUUCAUUCAUAGGAGAUUCUGACCAAUAGAAAGCUACAGAAAUAAAAAUUAAACUGAUUAUAUUUUAAUGAUUUUAACUUCCAAUCGUAUAGUAAGAUAUUUGAUCACGUGUUUAAUUCUAUCCAAUCAGAUUAAAAUUAUACUGAGAAUUAUCUGCUGUAGAAAAUUACCGAUAUAAUUUUUUUAAGUAGAUUGUUUCUAUUUAAUGGCAACCAGUUUCCUGGUUUUGACAACUGUCAUAUUUAAGAAAAUAUCCAUAAUAUACGUAUUAAAAAAUUAUCUUAGGAAUAUCACACGACAGUAAAAAUAAAUAAGAAAAUAAUGCUUCAUUUUUACUCAAAUUUGUUGUCAUUGGGCAAUAGCCACUCGAGUCCUGCGGGCUCUCGUGUCUAUUGCCAAACAACAAAUUUUCGAAAAGGUGUCGCAUUAUUUUCAAUUUAUUCUCACUCUCUUGUGAUAUUAUACCCGAUAAUUUUUGAUAAUUUCCCGUCGUCAAGUAUAUUACGUCAGAUGCCCUUCGUUGCUAUGAAAAAAUACAUUCAGAGACAUUAAUGACAAUUAAUGUUUUAAAAAUUAUGAAAGUGAUGACUUUCAACCGUCAAAUAUUUAUAACAACUGUGUGUUUAAUUGUACUGAUUUGUACUUAAAUAAAUAAAUUACAAUAAAAUUUUGGUUUUGAACAGUUUUAUUCAUGAAAUAAUCGCAACAAAUUGCACUCGAUCUCUAAAAUUAAUAUAGAAUUUUAGAGCUCUUGUUCAAUUACUACUGAUAAUUUCACACCACUAAUACAACACCUAUUGGUAUUGUUGACUGCAUAACUUCUGGUAACGUAAACAUUUUAUUUUCCUAUAUGAAUACUUAAUUAAUGGAUUAUUUCUAAGGAAAAAAAUGUUUUCCAUCUUUUUUCGAACAUCUUUAAUUCUAAUAUAUGUAAAUUGGAUACUGUUUUUUAUCUUAAACAUUCAAAAUAAUCUUUAAACGUUGUGGCUGAAGUAAUAAUACAACUAGGUUACAUUGACAGUUCUUAAUGUCAUUUUGGGUUGCUUUUGAAUUAAGUUGUCAGUUGGUCAUUGAAAUUCAAUAUGUGAGGAUUUCUCCAAAAAAAAUUCCAACCACGUGGGAAGAGUCCUGUGUUGCCCUGGGUAACAUCCAGGCAUAUCUUUAACAUCAGAUGAUCUUUAUAUAAAUAUGUAAAACAACCAUAUCAUUUACAUUUGAAGGGUUUUUACCCAAUACAUUUUGGUGGCUCAGGCAUGCAAUUUUUUCAUCAUAAUGGUGCUUUUGGAUAAUUUUGAUACCCUUAGAGGGCCCCAACAUUCUCAAGCUGCUUACAUCAUUCUACUCCGUUAGAGUAGAUUACCCUGGGAGUUUCAAUUGGGAGCGGGGCCGCCGAGAGGGAUGAACGGGCCCCGGUAACGAAUGAAGAGCGGCCUCCGGAAAAAAGUGACGAACGAAAUAAAUUGUUUAAUUUUUAUAGAAAUAAAAUUAUAAAUAAUAAGAAACAUUUCAAAUAUACAUUUUAUAAAAUUUUGAUUAAAUAUAUUUGUAAUAUUGAAAA